rnacentral:rRNA from 1 species
AAGCCUUCACGGGCGGCGGUUGACUACGGCUACCUCACACCUUAAAGUAUGUUAACGAAUGUAAUCAUGGUCUUGACAGACCCUAAAAAGUUAAUACAACUUUCGACAACGGAUCUCUUGGCUCUCGCAUCGAUGAAGAACGCAGCGAAAUGCGAUAAGUAAUGUGAAUUGCAGAAUUCAGUGAAUCAUCGAAUCUUUGAACGCACCUUGCGCCCUUUGGUAUUCCGAGGGGCAUGCCUGUUUGAGUGUCAUUAAAUACCAUCAACCCUCUUUUGACUUCGGUCUCGAGAGUGGCUUGGAAGUGGAGGUCUGCUGGAGCCUAACGGAGCCAGCUCCUCUUAAAUGUAUUAGCGGAUUUCCCUUGCGGGAUCGCGUCUCCGAUGUGAUAAUUUCUACGUCGUUGACCAUCUCGGGGCUGACCUAGUCAGUUUCAAUAGGAGUCUGCUUCCAACCGUCUCUUGACCGAGACUAGCGACUUGUGCGCUAACUUUUGACUUGACCUCAAAUCAGGUAGGACUACCCGCUGAACUUAAGCAUA